rnacentral:rRNA from 1 species
GGGUGGCGAGCAAACAGGAUUAGAUACCGUGGUAGUCCACGCCCUAAACGAUGUCUAAUAGUUGUCGGGUCUUAAUUGAAUUGGUAACGCAGCUAACGCGUGAAGUAGACCGCCUGGGGAGUACGGUCGCAAGAUUAAAACUCAAAGGAAUUGACGGGGACCCGCACAAGCGGUGGAUGAUGUGGAUUAAUUUGAUGCAACGCGAAAAACCUUACCUACCCUUGACAUGGCUGGAAUCCUCGAGAGAUUGGGGAGUGCUCGAAAGAGAACCAGUACACAGGUGCUGCAUGGCUGUCGUCAGCUCGUGUCGUGAGAUGUUGGGUUAAGUCCCGCAACGAGCGCAACCCUUGUCAUUAGUUGCUACGAAAGGGCACUCUAAUGAGACUGCCGGUGACAAACCGGAGGAAGGUGGGGAUGACGUCAAGUCCUCAUGGCCCUUAUGGGUAGGGCUUCACACGUCAUACAAUGGUACAUACAGAGCGCCGCCAACCCGCGAGGGGGAGCUAAUCGCAGAAAGUGUAUCGUAGUCCGGAUUGUAGUCUGCAACUCGACUGCAUGAAGUUGGAAUCGCUAGUAAUCGCGGAUCAGCAUGUCGCGGUGAAUACGUUCCCGGGUCUUGUACACACCGCCCGUCACACCAUGGGAGCGGGUUUUACCAGAAGUAGGUAGCUUAACCGCAAGGAGGGCGCUA